GUCAACACACCCCCACUAGAAGUGGGGGCUUACAGGAGCAAUCCUACAGGCUCCAAGUUGACCAGACUCAGCAUUUUUUAAGUGCUACGUUACCCACCAUUUAAUAUUCAAGCCAUCCCGCCACAAGAGAACUGGA
rnacentral:sRNA from 20 species